GGUAAUACGUAGGUGGCAAGCGUUGUCCGGAUUUAUUGGGCGUAAAGCGAGCGCAGGCGGAAUGAUAAGUCUGAUGUGAAAGCCCACGGCUCAACCGUGGAACUGCAUCGGAAACUGUCAUUCUUGAGUGCAGAAGAGGAGAGUGGAACUCCAUGUGUAGCGGUGGAAUGCGUAGAUAUAUGGAAGAACACCAGUGGCGAAGGCGGCUCUCUGGUCUGCAACUGACGCUGAGGCUCGAAAGCAUGGGUAGCGAACAGGAUUAGAUACCCUGGUAGUCCAUGCCGUAAACGAUGAGCGCUAGGUGUUGGGGACUUUCCAGUCCUCAGUGCCGCAGCAAACGUCGACGCGGCCG
rnacentral:rRNA from 1 species